rnacentral:misc_RNA from 1 species
AACUUUCAGCAAUGGAUCACUUGGUUCUCGCAUCGAUGAAGAACGCAGCGAAAUGCGAUACGUAAUGUGAAUUGCAGAUUCAGUGAAUCAUCGAAUCUUUGAACGCAUAUUGCACUCUUUGGUAUUCCGAAGAGUAUGCCUGUUUCAGUAUCAUGAAAACCCUCACAAAUUCAAUUUUGGCUUUGUGGACUUGAGCAUUUUGCGGCUUUGUUGCUGCUGGCUUAAAAUAUAUUUCUUGGAUAGCAUAAUUAUGGCUUUCGAAACUCGGCUUAAUAGUUUUGGCUUUUGGUCAAAUCUUUAGCUCUUUUUCAAAAGUCUCAAAGUUAUUCAAAAGUUUUAUACGAACACUUUCUCAAUUUUGAUCUGAAAUCAGGUAGGAUUACCCGCUGAACUUAAGCAUAUCAAUAAGCGGAGGCU